rnacentral:rRNA from 1 species
UGGCGGCAUGCCUUACACAUGCAAGUCGAACGGCAGCACGGGAGCAAUCCUGGUGGCGAGUGGCGAACGGGUGAGUAAUAUAUCGGAACGUGCCCAGUCGUGGGGGAUAACGUAGCGAAAGCUACGCUAAUACCGCAUACGAUCUACGGAUGAAAGCGGGGGAUCGCAAGACCUCGCGCGAUUGGAGCGGCCGAUAUCAGAUUAGGUAGUUGGUGAGGUAAAGGCUCACCAAGCCAACGAUCUGUAGCUGGUCUGAGAGGACGACCAGCCACACUGGAACUGAGACACGGUCCAGACUCCUACGGGAGGCAGCAGUGGGGAAUUUUGGACAAUGGACGCAAGUCUGAUCCAGCCAUUCCGCGUGCAGGAUGAAGGCCCUCGGGUUGUAAACUGCUUUGUACGGAACGAAAAGGUUUGUCUUAAUACGAUGAGCUCAUGACGGUACCGUAAGAAUAAGCACCGGCUAACUACGUG